rfam:Bombyx mori DNA, contig: Bm_scaf33_contig20238, strain: p50T/Dazao, build 2, whole genome shotgun sequence.
UUAACUCAAAUUUGUUUGGAGUUCAAACGUUUGCCUACGUUUGCCGCUAGGGGCGCUAUUCCAACUGCAUACAAAUUUGAGUUA